AGUUGUUCUCAGUUCGGAUUGUAGUCUGCAACUCGACUACAUGAAGCUGGAAUCGCUAGUAAUCGUAGAUCAGCAUGCUACGGUGAAUACGUUCCCGGGUCUUGUACACACCGCCCGUCACACCACGAGAGUUUGUAACACCCGAAGCCGGUGGAGUAACCUUUUAGGAGCUAGCCGUCGAAGGUGGGACAAAUGAUUGGGGUGAAGUCGUAACAAGGUAGCCGUAUCGGAAGGUGCGGCUGGAUCACCUC
rnacentral:rRNA from 1 species